GUUUACAGGGCCCUGUCCAGGUGACGAUAGCAUCCUGCAGCUCCUCGCUCAGUUCCCAAGUCGGUCCUCGGGGAGAGGCUCCCUGCCUGUGAGUAUCUCCCCUUGCCUUCCCCAGGCAGCGUGAUCCUGGAGAAACCAUUUCCAUUUUACUUUGGAACUCCUCUGGGCACUGCCAGGCCCAUUAGAGCGCUUCUCCGACAUCACCCAAGACACUGUGGGCAUUUCAGGCUUCAGGAUCAUUGUGUGUCCUUCGGUCAUCGGGGUAGCUUCCAUUAACGUCCAACAGCAAGAGAUGCAAUCACCAACCACCCUGAACCAGCCCAAACCCUACCACAAGAGUGAUGACUGCGCAGACGGGCUGAAAAGUGCCCAAGAUUGACCUUCGCCUCAUUUUUAAUGCUAAGAUCUCCGCUCUAGGAGGAGUUUAGGCUUUAUUACCAUAACAUGUGAUGUAUGUGGAAGCAUGUUUUCCAGCUGAGCCUGUGCAAGCAAAUACCCACCUCUCCCUUUUGAAUAUUCAUUCCCCAUCCCAGAU
rnacentral:lncRNA from 1 species